UAUGUCUUCGGAUAUAGAGACCGGCGCACGGGUGCGUAACGCGUAUGCAAUCUACCUUUUACAGAGGGAUAGCCCAGAGAAAUUUGGAUUAAUACCUCAUAGUAUAGCUCUACCGCAUGGUAGUACUAUUAAAGUCACAACGGUAAAAGAUGAGCAUGCGUCCCAUUAGCUAGUUGGUAAGGUAACGGCUUACCAAGGCAACGAUGGGUAGGGGUCCUGAGAGGGAGAUCCCCCACACUGGUACUGAGACACGGACCAGACUCCUACGGGAGGCAGCAGUGAGGAAUAUUGGACAAUGGGCGCAAGCCUGAUCCAGCCAUGCCGCGUGCAGGAUGACGGUCCUAUGGAUUGUAAACUGCUUUUGUACGAGAAGAAACACUGCUUCGUGAAGCAGCUUGACGGUAUCGUAAGAAUAAGGAUCGGCUAACUCCGUGCCAGCAGCCGCGGUAAUACGGAGGAUCCAAGCGUUAUCCGGAAUCAUUGGGUUUAAAGGGUCCGUAGGCGGUUUAGUAAGUCAGUGGUGAAAGCCCAUCGCUCAACGGUGGAACGGCCAUUGAUACUGCUGAACUUGAAUUAUUAGGAAGUAACUAGAAUAUGUAGUGUAGCGGUGAAAUGCUUAGAGAUUACAUGGAAUACCAAUUGCGAAGGCAGGUUACUA
rnacentral:rRNA from 1 species